rnacentral:snoRNA from 1 species
AUGCAUUUAUUUGGCAAACCUAUUUGGUACAGUUACUACCUGCUGCUACAACUUCUACCACCAAUGCAAGAAAACAGUGUCCUCAUGCUUUCUGUCUGCCUGGUUGUGGCAAUCAAGACUGAAUGGGAGAAUGCAGUA